UACGUAGGGUGCAAGCGUUGUCCGGAAUUAUUGGGCGUAAAGAGCUCGUAGGCGGUCUGUCGCGUCGAAUGUGAAAACCCGGGGCUCAACCCCGGGCCUGCAUUCGAUACGGGCAGACUAGAGUUCGGUAGGGGAGUCUGGAAUUCCUGGUGUAGCGGUGAAAUGCGCAGAUAUCAGGAGGAACACCGGUGGCGAAGGCGGAUCUCUGGGCCUUACCUGACGCUCAGGUGCGGAAGCUAGGGGAGCGAACAGG
rnacentral:rRNA from 1 species